AUUGAACGCUGGCGGAAUGCUUUACACAUGCAAGUCGAACGGCAGCACGGGGGCAACCCUGGUGGCGAGUGGCGAACGGGUAAGUAAUACAUCGGAACGUGCCCAGUCGUGGGGGAUAACGUAGCGAAAGUUACGCUAAUACCGCAUACGAUCUACGGAUGAAAGCGGGGGACCGUAAGGCCUCGCGCGAUUGGAGCGGCCGAUGUCAGAUUAGGUAGUUGGUGAGGUAAAGGCUCACCAGGCCGACGAUCUGUAGCUGGUCUGAGAGGACGACCAGCCACACUGGGACUGAGACACGGCCCAGACUCCUACGGGAGGCAGCAGUGGGGAAUUUUGGACAAUGGGCGCAAGCCUGAUCCAGCCAUUCCGCGUGCAGGACGAAGGCCUUCGGGUUGUAAACUGCUUUUGUACGGAACGAAAAGGCUCUGGUUAAUACCUGGGGCUCAUGACGGUACCGUAAGAAUAAGCACCGGCUAACUACGUGCCAGCCGCCGCGGUAA
rnacentral:rRNA from 1 species